UGUUCUGCACAAUCUUUUUCACUCAUGUGCCCACUUGGGCAAAUGUAAAUCAGUUAUUAGAUACUCUCAUGACAGAAGAUGAAAGACAAAAAGUAAAAGAAAAAUCUGCAGCUCAUUUGAAUGCACCUUGGCUAAUUACUGACCCUAACUGGAAUCCCAAUAAUCCAGCUCAAAAGACAAAGUUGGAUGGAUUUUUAAAAGCUGUUUUGAAUGGUAUUAGAGAUGCAGGGGAGGCUACUCCAAAUUGGAGCAAGGUGACUGCUUGUGUCCAGCAUCCAGAUAAGCACCUCUCUGACUUUUGUGCUCGACUGAUUUGUGAAGUUAAAAAGCAUGGGAAUUUAAAUCCUGAAACUGAUCAUGGAAAGGAGAUGGUUAAAAUGGUUUUCAUGUCACAAUGUGCAAAGGAUAUUGCAAAAAGAUUUAGAGAGCAUCCAGAUGGUACGCAAGGGAAAAGUUUGUCUAAAGUAGUUAGCAUUGCUACUAGAAUGUUUAAUGGGAAAGAGAAAAAGAAAGAAAAAGACAUAAGGAACGGGUUAAUUUAAAAAUCAUCUUGGCCCCGGGAUGGAAGGAGGGGGUUGCUCUGCGUUCAGGGUCAGGAAUCGGCGCGGACUGUGCUUGGUGCAGGGAGGGGCUGCUUUCGGCCCCAGCUGGCUGUGAAGGAAAAAAUAUAGACAGAGGCGAAGCAAAGGAAAUACAAGUUACAGAACUGAAAUUACAUUUGCAAAGUUUAACUGUCCAGUAAGAUCCAACAGAGUGCCUUUGUGACCCUGGAGUCGGUGUGGCUUGGUGACACCAAAGAAGCCACAGGCAGCCGACCUGGACUGGAAUCUCUGAAAGAGACGCCGCAGGAGAUUCCAGGGUGUAAAAGAACAGCCCUCCCAAGAGCAGAAGCAUGUUGGAAAUUCUGGACAAGCUGUAUACAGGAUAAUCUCCCUUCCACCUCUCCCCCUCCUCUGAACAUUAUACACAGAAGUGGCCAGUCUGGACGUACGUGUGUUAAAAGAAGCCAAGAAGGAAAGAAGGACAAAGAACAGAAUGAAUUAACUGAAAAAAAUAAAAUAAAAUAAAAUAAAAUAGCAAGCUCAGGCUAUAGAUAAGACACUGACUCCAUUCAAGGACACUGCUCACAGGUAAGACUUGGUUAACAACCAGGAAAAGGAGAGCUUGAAUUUGCCCAUGCAGCUAUGAGAUCUGAAAAACACUGCCAGGCACUAAUGAAAUGUGUUAAGUUUCUUUUCUCACAGGU